UNUGGUGNNNNNNGUGGUUUAAUUCGAUGCAACGCGAAGAACCUUACCUACUCUUGACAUCCACAGAAUUCGGCAGAGAUGCCUUAGUGCCUUCGGGAACUGUGAGACAGGUGCUGCAUGGCUGUCGUCAGCUCGUGUUGUGAAAUGUUGGGUUAAGUCCCGCAACGAGCGCAACCCUUAUCCUUUGUUGCCAGCACGUAAUGGUGGGAACUCAAAGGAGACUGCCGGUGAUAAACCGGAGGAAGGUGGGGAUGACGUCAAGUCAUCAUGGCCCUUACGAGUAGGGCUACACACGUGCUACAAUGGCGUAUACAAAGAGAAGCGAACUCGCGAGAGCCAGCGGACCUCAUAAAGUACGUCGUAGUCCGGAUCGGAGUCUGCAACUCGACUCCGNGAAGUCGGAAUCGC
rnacentral:rRNA from 1 species